rfam:Parcubacteria bacterium 33_209 MPI_scaffold_3869, whole genome shotgun sequence.
GCCCCUGUAGCUCAACGGAUAGAGCGCUGGUCUUCGGAACCAGAUGUGCGAGUUCGAAUCUUGCCGGGGGCA